AUGGGGGCAGCGGACAAGUGGCUGCUGCCGCUGGUGUCCGUCUCCUUCGUCUCGCUCAUGCUCUUCCUCUCGGCGCUCUCGGGCUACUCGGCCUCCUCCGCGCUCUUCGCGCGCCUCCCGCCGCCCUCCUACGUGCGCCGCGGGGCCGCCGCGCCCCCCUCCUUCGCGUACCUGCUCUCGGGCGGCCGCGGCGACGGCCGCAGGCUCCUGCGCCUGCUCCUCGCCGUCUACCACCCCCGGAACCAGUACCUGCUCCACCUCUCCGCGGACGCGCCCGAGUCCGAGCGCCUCGAGCUCGCCGCGGCCGUCGCGCGGGCCGCACCCGCAAUCACAGCCUUCGGGAACGUCGACGUCGUCGGCCGCCCCGCCGCCGGCACCCCCAUGGGCUCCUCCGGCCUCGCCGCCACGCUCCGCGCCGCCGCCGCCCUGCUCCGGCUCGACGCCGAGUGGGACUGGUUCGUCACGCUCAGCGCCGCCGAUUACCCCCUCCUCACCCAGGACGACCUGGUUCAUGUCUUCUCGUCUGUGCCAAGGCACCUCAACUUCAUCGAUCACACUAGUGAUAUUGGAUGGAAAGAGUCUCAGAGAGUGCAACCAGUCAUAGUAGAUGCUGGGAUAUACCUGGCUGGCAGGAAUCAGUUCUUCCAAUCCACAGAGAAACGGGCAACCCCAGAUGGUUUCAAAUUCUUCACAGGUUCUCCUUGGGUCAUUCUGAAUCGGAGGUUUAUAGAGUACUGCAUUUUCGGAUGGGAGAACCUCCCUCGGACCCUUCUCAUGUACUUCACGAACGUGAUGUUGCCUCUGGAAGGUUAUUUCCACUCAGUCGCAUGCAACUCGGACUUCCGUAACUUCACGGUGAACAAUGACUUGCGGUACGUGGCAUGGGACGACCCACCUCAGAUGGAACCCCGGUUUCUAAACAUUACACAUUAUGAGGAGAUUGUGGAGAGCGGAGUGCCCUUUGCUAGGAAGUUCCGAGAGAAAGAGCAUCUGUUGGACAGGAUUGAUGAGAAAAUACUCCAGCGAUGGCGUCACAGACCUGUUCCCGGAGCGUGGUGCACAGGCAGGAAGAGGUGGUUCAGCGAUCCAUGCUCCCAGUGGAGCAACGUCAACAUCGUAAGACCCGGCCCCCAAGCCGAGAAGUUCCGCAGAUACAUGGACCGGAUCCUGGAAGAAUCCAAGUCAAGCAACAGCUCAUGCGCGCAAUAG
rnacentral:rRNA from 1 species